rnacentral:rRNA from 1 species
GACGAACGCUGGCGGCGUGCUUAACACAUGCAAGUCGAGCGGUAAGGCCCUUUCGGGGGUACACGAGCGGCGAACGGGUGAGUAACACGUGGGUGACCUGCCCUCAGCUCUGGGAUAAGCCUGGGAAACCGGGUCUAAUACUGGAUAUGACUCCAUGACGCAUGUUGGUGGGGUGGAAAGCCUUGUGCGGCUGAGGAUGGGCCCGCGGCCUAUCAGCUUGUUGGUGGGGUGAGGCCUACCAAGGCGACGACGGGUAGCCGGCCUGAGAGGGCGACCGGCCACACUGGGACUGAGACACGGCCCAGACUCCUACGGGAGGCAGCAGUGGGGAAUCUUGCGCAAUGGGCGAAAGCCUGACGCAGCGACGCCGCGUGAGGGAUGACGGCCU